rnacentral:rRNA from 1 species
GCGGCAGGCUUAACACAUGCAAGUCGAGCGGGCCCUUCGGGGNUCAGCGGCGGACGGGUGAGUAACGCGUGGGAACGUGCCUUCUGGUUCGGAAUAACCCUGGGAAACUAGGGCUAAUACCGGAUACGCCCUUAUGGGGAAAGGUUUACUGCCGGAAGAUCGGCCCGCGUCUGAUUAGCUAGUUGGUGGGGUAAUGGCCUACCAAGGCGACGAUCAGUAGCUGGUCUGAGAGGAUGAUCAGCCACACUGGGACUGAGACACGGCCCAGACUCCUACGGGAGGCAGCAGUGGGGAAUAUUGGACAAUGGGCGCAACUGNAUCCAGCCAUGCCGCGUGAGUGAUGAAGGCCUUAGGGUUGUAAAGCUCUUUUAUCCGGGACGAUAAUGACGGUACCGGAGGAAUAAGCCCCGGCUAACUUCGUGCCAGCAGCCGCGGUAAUACGAAGGGGCUAGCGUUGCUCGGAAUCACUGGGCGUAAAGGGCGCGUAGGCGGCGUUUUAAGUCGGGGGUGAAAGCCUGUGGUCAACU